rnacentral:rRNA from 1 species
GGCUCCUUGACAUUUUUUUAUAAGGAGUCGGACCUGCUCGGUGAAUAUAUUUUAACAGCCGCGGUACUCUGACCGUGCAAAGGUAGCAUAAUCAUUUGCCUUAUAAUUGAAGGCUAGUAUGAAUGGUUUGACGAGAAUUAAGCUGUCUCUUUUCAAUUAAAUAUAAUUUUAUUAGCAGGUGAAGAAGCCUGCAUUACAUUGAAAGACAAGAAGACCCUAUCGAGCUUUAAAAAAAUUAGUGGACUUAUCUUAUAUUAAUAAAAAUAUAAGACUACUAAAAACUUUGGUUGGGGCGACUGAGGAACAAAGAAAGCUUCCUUUAUAAUUAAAAGACUUACAAGUAUUGAUCCAAUAAAUUUGAUUAAAGGAAUUAGUUACCGUAGGGAUAACAGCAUAAUCUUCUUUGAGAGCUCUCAUCGAAAAGGAGGUUUGUGACCUCGAUGUUGGACCAGAAUACCCAGAAGAUGCAGCCGUCUUCAAUGGUUGGUCUGUUCGACCAUUAAAAUUCUACGUGAUCUGAGUUCAGACCGGCGUGAGCCAGGUCAGUUUCUAUCUUCAAUUUUUAUAAUAGCCUUAGUACGAAAGGACCAGGCUAUUGCAAAAUAAAUUGUUAUAUUUGAUUUAAUCUAAAGAAUAUUUUAUUAUAUAACUGUUAUCAAAUUAGCAAAGAUAUGCAAUUGACUUAGGAUCAAUAGACAUAGGUGAAAUCCCUUUAUUUGAUACAUAAAGAUGGCAGAAAAA